rnacentral:rRNA from 1 species
UGGUGGAGUGAUUUGUCUGGUUAAUUCCGAUAACGAACGAGACCUUAACCUGCUAAAUAGCCAGGCCGGCUUUGGCCGGUCGCAGGCUUCUUAGAGGGACUGUCGGCGUCUAGCCGACGGAAGUUUGAGGCAAUAACA